UACGUAGGGCGCAAGCGUUGUCCGGAAUUAUUGGGCGUAAAGAGCUCGUAGGCGGCCAGUUGCGUCUGCUGUGAAAUCCCGGGGCUCAACCCCGGGCGUGCAGUGGAUACGGGCUGGCUAGAGGCAGGCAGGGGAGAACGGAAUUCCCGGUGUAGCGGUGAAAUGCGCAGAUAUCGGGAGGAACACCGGUGGCGAAGGCGGUUCUCUGGGCCUGUACUGACGCUGAGGAGCGAAAGCGUGG
rnacentral:rRNA from 1 species